rnacentral:rRNA from 1 species
GAAGGUGUGUUGAGAAGCAUGCUGGACGUAUCAGAAGUGCGAAUGCUGACAUAAGUAACGAUAAAACGGGUGAAAAACCCGUUCGCCGGAAGACCAAGGGUUCCUGUCCAACGUUAAUCGGGGCAGGGUGAGUCGGCCCCUAAGGCGAGGCUGAAAAGCGUAGUCGAUGGGAAACGGGUUAAUAUUCCCGUACUUGGUAAAGCUGCGAUGUGGGGACGGAGCAGGUUAGGUUAGCGUGCUGUUGGAUAUGCACGUUUAAGUUGGUAGGUGGGGAGUUUAGGCAAAUCCGGACUUCCUUAACACUGAG